GCUUAACGCGAAGAACCUUACCCGGGCUAGAAAAGCACGGAACCCUUUGGAAACAUGGGGGUGCUCGCAAGAGAACCGUGAUCCAGGUGCUGCAUGGCUGUCGUCAGCUCGUGUCGUGAGAUGUUGGGUUAAGUCCCGCAACGAGCGCAACCCUUGUCCUUAGUUGCCAUCAUUCAGUUGGGGACUCUGGGAAGACCGCCGGUGUCAAACCGGAGGAAGGCGGGGAUGACGUCAAGUCCUCAUGGCCCUUACGGCCAGGGCUACACACGUACUACAAUGGUAGAAACAGACGGCUGCAAGACCGCAAGGUGGAGCUAAUCCGUAAAACACUAUCUCAGUCCGGAUUGAGGUCUGCAACUCGACCUCAUGAAGUUGGAAUCGCUAGUAAUCGCAGAUCAGCACGCUGCGGUGAAUACGUUCCCGGGUCUUGUACACACCG
rnacentral:rRNA from 1 species